rnacentral:sRNA from 1 species
CCAGUAAUAUCGCGUACGACCUACCAAUGAAACAGGAUGGUAACAUACCUUAUAAGAACAUUCUCAAAAGUCGUGUGCAACAUAGUUAAGUUCUGAUAUUGGUUGCCAUAGUGAAUUUUUAGAAGGAGAUACAUUUUAUCAAUAACCACUGCCAAUAAAACUGCUUUAAUCAAACAAUAAAAUGCUUUCUUUUCAUGCAGGAUAUAAAGGUGGCGACAUUGCAGAAAAAAUACAUAACCCGCGUUUUGUUUGCAAUGAUUGCUUCUUUCAUAAUACGCAUGAAUAAUCAAAGAAAGUAUUUUAUUGUUUAUAUUUACAUCUUUCUUUUUAACAAAUUAAUUAAUUGAUUGAAAAAAGUCAGAAAAUUCACUAAAUUAUUGUUAAUAAACAUCAGUACGUUAGCUAAAAGAAGCAGCCAAAUCGUCUCCUAUGGGAAUUGGAGUCGGACAUCAUCAUGAUUAUUUCGUGCAGUCUUAAGUUUUUCUUAAGUGGAUUAAAGUUUUGAUCAAUCUAUAUACGGGGCGUGUAGAUUACAGUCCUGUCAGUUUCUACAAAGCUAUGAAUUGCAAAUAAUUUUCGAAAGAAAUAGAGAAAAUCAUACAUGGUAGAUGUAAAUAUAUGACAUUAUUUUACUUCAAACUGUCAAGGAAAAUGAAUGAAUUUCUUUGAAUAUUUUUGUGAGCAUUGUACACGUUCCUGUAUUUGUUAUACAUGUAUGUAUACAUGUAUAAACAUACAUGUUAUUUAC